CCAGCUGACCUUCAGCCAUGAAGAUCCUUUAUCUGCUCUUUGCUGUUUUCUUUCUGGUGCUUCAGGGCAUGCCAGAACUCUCUGAGGCUCAGGAUCCCUUCAAGCUCUGUAGAUACAAAGGGGGUAACUGCUCCUACAAGAGAUGUCCCUUCAAUUCUAAAGUCAUUGGCAUAUGCACUGGACGCUUUUUGUGCUGUCGCAGGCGAUUUUGGGGCUGAUUGUGUAGGCUGAAUCUCUGGGAAUCCGGCAGACAGCCAUUUGUUUCUAAAUUCAUCAGAUCCUGAUUCAAUGGAACCCUGAAGUGCAAUUCAUUUGGAUUGGAAAGAACCUCAUGAGCUGGAGAAAUUCCAGAAGGGAGCCCUUGUAUCGCCCCUAUCAGAUUUGUUACUCUCCUUUUAACAAAAACCAUUUGGUUUGAAAUAAUCUUGCUGAUGUGUCG